AGCUCCAAUAGCGUAUAUUAAUGUUGUUGCAGUUAAAAAAGCUCGUAGUCGAAAUUCAGGCAAGGGUUGGGGUGGUCUGCCUCGGGUGUGUACUGCUCGCGCUUGUCUUUUUUUGAGAUAGCGGCGUUCCCCUUUAAUUAGGCGGGGCGUUCGUUACUCAUCGUUUACCUUGAAAAAAUUAGAGUGUUCAACGCAGGCGU
rnacentral:rRNA from 1 species